rnacentral:rRNA from 1 species
GUUCUGAGAGGAAGGUCCCCCACAUUGGAACUGAGACACGGUCCAAACUCCUACGGGAGGCAGCAGUGAGGAAUAUUGGUCAAUGGAGGAGAGUCUGAACCAGCCAAGUAGCGUGAAGGAUGAAGGUCCUACGGAUUGUAAACUUCUUUUAUAAGGGAAUAAACCCACCCACGUGUGGGAGCUUGUAUGUACCUUAUGAAUAAGC